rnacentral:rRNA from 1 species
ACCUCUAGCAUACUUAGUAUUAGAGGCACUGCCUGCCCAGUGACAUUCGUUCAACGGCCGCGGUAUCCUGACCGUGCAAAGGUAGCAUAAUCACUUGUUCUUUAAAUAAGGACUAGUAUGAAUGGCAAGACGAGGGUUUAUCUGUCUCUUGCUUUACGUCAGUGAAAUUGAUCUUCCCGUGAAGAAGCGGGAAUAAUAUAAUAAGACGAGAAGACCCUAUGGAGCUUUAAUUUAUUAGCUUACUUAACCAAUUUUUAACCCAUAAGGGCAUAACACAUACACUUAAACCUAAGCUAGUAAUUUCGGUUGGGGUGACCUCGGAGUACAAUAAAACCUCCGAAUGAUAUUAGCCUAGAUCCAACAAAUCGAAGUUUAAAUCACCAAUUGACCCAAAUUCCUUUUGAUCAACGGACCAAGUUACCCUAGGGAUAACAGCGCAAUCCUAUUCUAGAGUUCAUAUCGACAAUGGGGUUUACGACCUCGAUGUUGGAUCAGGACAUCCUAAUGGUGCAGCAGCUAUUAAG